rnacentral:rRNA from 1 species
GACGAACGCUGGCGGCGUGCUUAACACAUGCAAGUCGAACGGAAAGGCCCUGCUUUUGUGGGGUGCUCGAGUGGCGAACGGGUGAGUAACACGUGAGUAACCUGCCCUUGACUUUGGGAUAACUUCAGGAAACUGGGGCUCAUACCGGAUAGGAGCUCCUGCUGCAUGGGGGGGGUUGGAAAGUUUCGGCGGUUGGGGAUGGACUCGCGGCUUAUCAGCUUGUUGGUGGGGUAGUGGCUUACCAAGUCUUUGACGGGUAGCCGGCCUGAGAGGGUGACCGGCCACAUGGGGACUGAGAUACGGCCCAGACUCCUACGGGAGGCAGCAGUGGGGAAUAUUGCACAGUGGGCGGAAGCCUGAUGCAGCAACGCCGCGUGCGUGAUGAUGGCCUUCGGGUUGUAAACCGCUUUCGCCUGUGACGAAGCGUGAGUGACGGUAAUGGGUAAAGAAGCACCGGCUAACUACGUG